rnacentral:rRNA from 1 species
GACGAACGCUGGCGGCGUGCUUAACACAUGCGAGUGGAGCGACGAACCGGGCUUCGGCCCGGGGCAAAGCCGCGAACGGGUGAGUAUCACGUGGGUAACCUGCCCCGAUGACCGGGACAACCCGAGGAAACUCGGGCUAAUAUCGGAUGUGCUCUCAAUCCACCAGGGUUGAGAACAAAGGAAGCUUCGGCCUCCGCAUUGGGAUGGGCCCGCGGCCCAUUAGCUUGUUGGUGAGGUAAAGGCUCACCAAGGCGACGAUGGGUAGCUGGUCUGAGAGGGCGAUCAGCCACACUGGGACUGAGACACGGCCCAGACUCCUACGGGAGGCAGCAGUGGGGAAUCUUGCGCAAUGCGCGAAAGCGUGACGCAGCAACGCCGCGUGAGGGAAGAAGGCCUUCGGGUUGUAAACCUCUGUCAGGAGGGACGAAGGUUCAGGCGCGAAUAGCGUCCUGGACUGACGGUACCUCCAGAAGAAGCCCCGGCUAACUACGUGCCAGCCGCCGCCGUAAAAC